rnacentral:tRNA from 1 species
GGUGGCUCAGUGGUAGAGCACUUGCCUUGCAUGCAUGAGGCCCUGAGUUUGAUUCCUCAGUACCA